CCUCUUCUUUUCCUUUUUUUUGUUUUCUUUCUUUUUUUUCUUUUGUUUUCUUUCCUUUUUCUCUUUUUCUUUUCUUUUUUUUUCUUUCUUUCUUUCUUCUUGUUUUCUUUCUUUUAUCCUUCAUAGAAACAGGGGAAGAAACAAAAAUGGUAGGCUGGCCACUUCCCAUGUGGCAACCCUCCGACAGCAGCGACGACCCCCCGCCCC
rnacentral:lncRNA from 1 species